AGUCACUGACAUUAGAUACCCGGGUAGUCCAGGGUGUAAACGCUGCAGACUUGGUGUUGGAAGUCCUUUGGGGGCAUUCAGUGCCGGAGAGAAGUUGUUAAGUCUGCUACUUGGGGAGUACGUCCGCAAGGAUGAAACUUAAAGGAAUUGGCGGGGAGCACCGCAACGGGAGGAGCGUGCGGUUUAAUUGGAUUCAACACCGUAAGACUCACCAGGGAAGACUGUUACAUGAAGGCCGAGAUGAAGACUCUGCUAGAUUUUCAG
rnacentral:rRNA from 1 species